rnacentral:lncRNA from 1 species
CGAGUAUAACCAGUCGCACGCACAGAACAGAAGGGGGAAAGAAACCCCAAAUCGCUGCUGACCUGCUGUUGUUGUUCGAGUCCGAGGGUAGGGGUCUUGAACUUGCUCGAUUUCUUCACGAAUCACGGCUCAUCCUCAGGUUGAAAUUGGGGGUGAAUUUUAGCCCUAAACUUGUUGAAAUUGUCAAUCUUCGACGAAUUCUUCUUGAAUCUUCAUAAGAUUAUGUUAUGGGAUUGACCGGCUGCUGCUGUGCCUGCUCUUGUUCGACUGCAAGCUGCUGCGCUACUUGUUGUGGUCUUGUUUGACUUCUUCAAUCUUCAUAAGGUUAAAGGUAUGUGGCGCUUGGGGCACCCCCGUGAUGGCGUGGUCAUCGUGAUCACACCGCAGCAAGUGGUGUGAUCACGGUAGUGAGGAUGUUGAGCGUGAUGGUGGUCAGGGUGUGGUUGUUGUGAUGAAGCCCUUGUUCAACGGUCAUAACCACCUUAAAAAAGCGUGAGUAAAAGUUGGAACGUGGACUUAUUGUUAGUUAUGUAAUUCAUGGCUACAUGCUGUGAAAUUCUAUUGACAUGACUUGUGAUGUAAAAUUCAGGGGUGCCAUUCGUGUUAGGUUGACAUGUUUUGGUUUAACGGGUUUUUGGUUGGAGUGUUGAAUUGUUCAAACCAAAAAUGAUCUAUAUACUUAUUUGUGUCAAA